UACGAGGGGGGCAAAUGUUGUUCGGAAUCACUGGGCGUAAAGGGAGCGUAGGCGGGUUUUUAAGUAAGGUGUUUAAUCCCGGGGCCCAACCCCGGACCGGCACUUUAAACUGGGAAUCUUGAAUAGUGGAGAGGUCGGUGGAAUUGGGGGUGUAGCGGUGGAAUGCGUAGAGAUCCCCAAGAACACCAGUUGCGAAGGCGGCCGACUGGACACAUAUUGACGCUGAGGCUCGAAAGCAUGGGGAGCAAACAGG
rnacentral:rRNA from 1 species